UACGUAGGGUGCAAGCGUUAAUCGGAAUACUGGGCGUAAAGCGUGCGCAGGCGGUGAUGUAAGACAGGUGUGAAAUCCCCGGGCUUAACCUGGGAACUGCAUUUGUGACUGCAUCGCUGGAGUGCGGCAGAGGGGGAUGGAAUUCCGCGUGUAGCAGUGAAAUGCGUAGAUAUGCGGAGGAACACCGAUGGCGAAGGCAAUCCCCUGGGCCUGCACUGACGCUCAUGCACGAAAGCGUGGGGAGCGAAACAAGGAUUGAGAAAC
rnacentral:rRNA from 1 species